rnacentral:rRNA from 1 species
AUUGAACGCUGGCGGCGGGCUUUACACAUGCAAGUCGGACGAGUGGCGAACGGGUGAGUAACGCAUCGGAACGUACCGGGUAAAGGGGGAUAACUGUCCGAAAGGACAGCUAAUACCGCAUAUCAUGCGAGGGGCACAUGUCUGAUUAGCUGGUUGGGGGGGUAAAGGCCCACCAAGGCGACGAUCACUAGCGGGUCUGAGAGGAUGACCAGCCACACGGGGACUGAGACACGGCCCAGACUCCUACGGGAGGCAGCAGUGGGGAAUUUUGGACAAUGGGCGCAAGCCUGAUCCAGCCAUGCCGCGUGUCUGAAGAAGGCCUUCGGGUUGUAAAGGACUUUUGUCAGGGAAGCGGUACCUGAAGAAUAAGCACCGGCUAACUACGUGCCAGCAGCCGCGGUAAUAC